rnacentral:rRNA from 1 species
UACGUAGGGGGCAAGCGUUGUCCGGAUUUAUUGGGCGUAAAGAGCGUGUAGGCGGCCAUGUAGGUCCGUUGUGAAAACUCGAGGCUCAACCUCGAGACGCCGGUGGAAACCGUAAGGCUAGAGUCCGGAAGAGGAGAGUGGAAUUCCUGGUGUAGCGGUGAAAUGCGCAGAUAUCAGGAGGAACACCUGCGGUGUAGACGGCUUUCUGGACCAUGCUGACGCUGAGACACGAAAGCGUGGGUAGCAAACAGG